GAUGAACGCUGGCGGCGUGCCUAAUACAUGCAAGUCGAGCGAACAGACGAGGAGCUUGCUCCUCUGACGUUAGCGGCGGACGGGUGAGUAACACGUGGAUAACCUACCUAUAAGACUGGGAUAACUUCGGGAAACCGGAGCUAAUACCGGAUAAUAUAUUGAACCGCAUGGUUCAAUAGUGAAAGACGGUUUUGCUGUCACUUAUAGAUGGAUCCGCGCCGCAUUAGCUAGUUGGUAAGGUAACGGCUUACCAAGGCAACGAUGCGUAGCCGACCUGAGAGGGUGAUCGGCCACACUGGAACUGAGACACGGUCCAGACUCCUACGGGAGGCAGCAGUAGGGAAUCUUCCGCAAUGGGCGAAACCCUGACGGAGCAACGCCGCGUGAGUGAUGAAGGUCUUCGGAUCGUAAAACUCUGUUAUUAGGGAAGAACAAAUGUGUAAGUAACUAUGCACGUCUUGACGGUACCUAAUCAGAAAGCCACGGCUAACUACGUG
rnacentral:rRNA from 1 species